AUCUGGUUCCCUGCAAACGCCGCGGUGAGUACUGAGAAGAGCGAAGAGAGGCGUGCAACAACACCUGUCUCCUUGCUACUGACCAGCUGCUGCUCCAGAGAACCUGUGACUGUGAACUUCUCACGCUGCGGGAUACGGAAGAUUCCUACAAAGGCGUGUCAGGUCAAAUUCAUUAACAGUGUGAAAGAUAUCAUCAGCAGAUUGAGGCACUACAUGAACAAUGAAUGCUGCAG